rnacentral:rRNA from 1 species
GUGAGGAAUUUUCCGCAAUGGGCGAAGGCCUGACGGAGCAAUGCCGCGUGAAGGAUGAAGGCCUAUGGGUUGUAAACUUCUUUUCUCAGAAAAGAAUUAUGACGGUAUCUGAGGAAUAAGCAUCGGCUAACUCUGUGCCAGCAGCCGCGGUAAGACAGAGGAUGCAAGCGUUAUCCGGAAUGAUUGGGCGUAAAGCGUCUGUAGGUUGUUUAAAAAGUAUUCUGUCAAAGAUUAGGGCUUAACCCUAGAUAGGCAGAAUAAACUUUUAAGCUAGAGUUUGGUAGAGGCAGAGGGAAUUCCCGGUGGAGCGGUGAAAUGCGUAGAUAUCGGGAGGAACACCAAAGGCGAAGGCACUCUGCUGGGCCAAUACUAACACUGAGAGACGAAAGCGAGGGGAGCAAAUGGGAUUAGAUACCCGGGUAGUCC